AGCAGCCGCGGUAAUUCCAGCUCCAAUAGCGUAUAUUAAAGUUGUUGCAGUUAAAAAGCUCGUAGUUGAAUUUCGGGACCAAUAUGUCGGUCGUGCUUCGGUACGUACUUGCAUUAUUGGUUUCUCCCUUCUGAGGAACCAUGAUGUCAUUAAUUUGGUGUCGUGGGAAAUCAGGACUGUUACUUUGAAAAAAUUAGAGUGUUUAAAGCAGGCUCGCGCUUGAAUACAUUAGCAUGGAAUAAUGAAAUAGGACGUUUGAUUCUAUUUUGUUGGUUUCUAGGAUCGACGUAAUGAUUAAUAGGGAUAGUUGGGGGCAUUAGUAUUCAAUUGUCAGAGGUGAAAUUCUUGGAUUUAUUGAAGACUAACUACUGCGAAAGCAUUUGCCAAGGAUGUUUUCAUUAAUCAAGAACGAAAGUUAGGGGAUCGAAGACGAUCAGAUACCGUCGUAGUCUUAACCAUAAACUAUGCCGACUAGGGAUCGGAUGAUGUAUUUUUGAUGA
rnacentral:rRNA from 1 species